ensembl:lncRNA
GUGUGGGGAGGCUGCAGCGUUGCAGCCGGCUGCUUUAGCCGUCCAGCUGGUGGGAGUGACCCCUCCCUGUCCCGUCAGAGGGUGCAGGUUGAGGUGCUGUUUGUGUGUGGGGUGACCUCCCCGCUCGGUGGGUCGAGGUAGCUCCCUGGGCUUCCAAAGACGAGGCGUUGGUGAUGUUCUGCUGCUGCCGGGCGGGCCAGCCUGUAACUCAGGCGUUGGCGGGAGCCUCGUGCUCCGCGGGGCUUCUUGAAGAGGGUGAGGUGUGGGGGUACCGUCCUGUAGGCAGGGCUGUGUGUGCCCCCCGUGUGUGCUUGGUGAGCUGCGUUCUGAGAGACCCCCUGUACUCAGGUGGGAAUGUGGCCCCGGCCUUUCAGAGGCGCGGGGCCGUGAGAUGCGGGGUGGGGCUUGCGCCCUCCCUGGAAUCGGGGCUGGGAUCCCGACUGCGGCCUUUGGCCGUGCCGCCCCGCUGCCUGGCUGCUGAGAGUUUCUCCUGCCGCUGGGGGGGAAACCGAGCUCUGUGGCUCCAGGGGUGUUGUCCACCCGCCUGUAAUCAGGGUCUGGGUGCGCGAGCGUUUGUGCUCUGCUGGCAGCCUGUGUGGGGUGACCGCCCCGCUAGCGGGGUGUGGGUCGAGGUGCCCCGGACUGGGAGAGAAGGAGCCUCCCUCGGCCGUAGGGAUGGGGGCCGCCCUGUAAGUCAGGGAGCAUCUGUGUCCCGGAGUCCCAGGCCCUUUUCAAUGGCGGCAGUGGCCGGGGUCCCCUGUAAGCAGGGAAGCUGACUCUUUGGCUGCUGCUUUUUGUGUGCCCAGCCCCAUUUGCCCGGUCUGCCCGCCUCUGUGAUCCCCCGCAGCACUGGCUGGAAGUCCGCCGCGUGUCAGUGAGGAGCUACUGCAGAAGGAAGAAGAAGAAGCGGCGUGGGGAGCUGGGAGGCAGGAGCAAGCAAGAAGAGGAAGCGGAAGCGUGCAGAUGCGGGGGGGAAGGAGAGAGGCUCCCUGGGCAAAGCACCUGUCCCGUUAGCAGGGGCACAGUCACGUUUGAGUUGAGAGCUGCCGGCGCCUUUGGUGACCAGGCUGGCGUUGUGCUGGGCGACCUCCCCGUAAGCGGGGCUCGGGUCUUUGCUGUAGUUGGCCUUUUGCCUUGCUGCUCCUUUGGCUGCCUGGGGAGCGUGGCCCCCUGUAACGGAGGGCGAGAGCCACCUCUCCGCACCUGAGUGGGAAAUGGAGCUCGCCGGACCCCGAGGCCACCCUGUAAGCAGGGUAGUGCCGUUUCCCUGCCCCUCUUCCUCCCCCGGCCCCUCGGCAUCGUUGCCUGAUGGUGGCUUGUCAACGCGACGGCCCCGUACUCGGGGUGUGUGUCCCAAGCUUUGGAGCCCUCUGUCCCUGAGCAGCCCGCCCGCCCUGUAACCAGGUGUGGGGAGGCUGCAGCGUUGCAGCCGGCUGCUUUAGCCGUCCAGCUGGUGGGAGUGACCCCUCCCUGUCCCGUCAGAGGGUGCAGGUUGAGGUGCUGUUUGUGUGUGGGGUGACCUCCCCGCUCGGUGGGUCGAGGUAGCUCCCUGGGCUUCCAAAGACGAGACGUUGGUGAUGUUCUGCUGCUGCCGGGCGGGCCAGCCUGUAACUCAGGCAUUGGCGGGAGCCUCGUGCUCCGCGGGGCUUCUUGAAGAGGGUGAGGUGUGGGGGUACCGUCCUGUAGGCAGGGCUGUGUGUGCCCCCCGUGUGUGCUUGGUGAGCUGCGUUCUGAGAGACCCCCUGUACUCAGGUGGGAAUGUGGCCCCGGCCUUUCAGAGGCGCAGGGCCGUGAGAUGCGGGGUGGGGCUUGCGCCCUCCCUGGAAUCGGGGCUGGGAUCCCGACUGCGGCCUUUGGCCGUGCCGCCCCGCUGCCUGGCUGCUGAGAGUUGCUCCUGCCGCUGGGGGGGAAACCGAGCUCUGUGGCUCCAGGGGUGUUGUCCACCCGCCUGUAAUCAGGGUCUGGGUGCGUGAGCGUUUGUGCUCUGCUGGCAGCCUGUGUGGGGUGACCGCCCCGCUAGCGGGGUGUGGGUCGAGGUGCCCCGGACUGGGAGAGAAGGAGCCUCCCUCGGCCGUAGGGAUGGGGGCCGCCCUGUAAGUCAGGGAGCAUCUGUGUCCCGGAGUCCCAGGCCCUUUUCAAUGGCGGCAGUGGCCGGGGGUCCCCUGUAAGCAGGGAAGCUGACUCUUUGGCUGCUGCUUUUUGUGUGCCCAGCCCCAUUUGCCCGGUCUGCCCGCCUCUGUGAUCCCCCGCAGCACUGGCUGGAAGUCCGCCGCGUGUCAGUGAGGAGCUGCUUCAGAAGAAAGAAGAAGCGGCGUGGGGACCUGGGCUGCAAAAUCAAGAUGGGGCAUCUGUUGACUGUUUUUCUUGUAUUUCUUUGCCUUUUGGAGCCACAGUUUUGAACGGUUGUGUAAGACUUUAUCACUCUUUUUGUCAGCGUCGUCAGCUGUGAAUAAAGUUUUUUUUCCAUGUUGUUUUUCCUGUUAUA